rnacentral:rRNA from 1 species
AGUGAACGCUGGCGGUAGGCCUAACACAUGCAAGUCGAACGGCAGCACAGUAAGAGCUUGCUCUUACGGGUGGCGAGUGGCGGACGGGGGAGGAAUACAUCGGAAUCUACUUUUUCGUGGGGGAUAACGUAGGGAAACUUACGCUAAUACCGCAUACGACCUACGGGUGAAAGCAGGGGAUCUUCGGACCUUGCGCGUUUGAAUGAGCCGAUGUCGGAUUAGCUAGUUGGCGGGGUAAAGGCCCACCAAGGCGACGAUCCGUAGCUGGUCUGAGAGGAUGAUCAGCCACACUGGAACUGAGACACGGUCCAGACUCCUACGGGAGGCAGCAGUGGGGAAUAUUGGACAAUGGGCGCAAGCCUGAUCCAGCCAUACCGCGUGGGUGAAGAAGGCCUUCGGGUUGUAAAGCCCUUUUGUUGGGAAAGAAAAGCAGCAGGUUAAUACCCCGCUGUUCUGACGGUACCCAAAGAAUAAGCACCGGCUAACUUCGUG